UUGCAUGGCUUUGUCAGCUCGUUCGUAGAAUGUUGGGUUAAGGUCCCGCAACGAGCGCAACCCUCGCCUUUAGUUGCCAUCAUUUAGUUGGGCACUCUAGAGGAACUGCCGGUGACAAGCCGGAGGAAGGUGGGGAUGACGUCAAGUCCUCAUGGCCCUUAUGUCCUGGGCUACACACGUGCUACAAUGGUGGUGACAGUGGGAAGCUAGGCGGUGACGCCGUGCUGAUCUCUAAAAGCCAUCUCAGUUCGGAUUGUACUCUGCAACUCGAGUACAUGAAGGUGGAAUCGCUAGUAAUCGUGGAUCAGCAUGCCACGGUGAAUACGUUCCCGGGCCUUGUACACACCGCCCAAUCGAAUUCCC
rnacentral:rRNA from 1 species